UGAACGCUGGCGGCGUGCCUACUACAUGCACGUCGAGCGAACAGACGAGGAGCUUGCUCCUCUGACGUUAGCGGCGGACGGGUGAGUAACACGUGGAUAACCUACCUAUAAGACUGGGAUAACUUCGGGAAACCGGAGCUAAUACCGGAUAAUAUAUUGAACCGCAUGGUUCAAUAGUGAAAGACGGUUUUGCUGUCACUUAUAGAUGGAUCCGCGCCGCAUUAGCUAGUUGGUAAGGUAACGGCUUACCAAGGCGACGAUGCGUAGCCGACCUGAGAGGGUGAUCGGCCACACUGGAACUGAGACACGGUCCAGACUCCUACGGGAGGCAGCAGUAGGGAAUCUUCCGCAAUGGGCGAAAGCCUGACGGAGCAACGCCGCGUGAGUGAUGAAGGUCUUCGGAUCGUAAAACUCUGUUAUUAGGGAAGAACAAAUGUGUAAGUAACUAUGCACGUCUUGACGGUACCUAAUCAGAAAGCCACGGCUAACUACGUG
rnacentral:rRNA from 1 species